AUUGAACGCUGGCGGCAUGCCUUACACAUGCAAGUCGAACGGCAGCAUAGGAGCUUGCUCCUGAUGGCGAGUGGCGAACGGGUGAGUAAUAUAUCGGAACGUGCCCUAGAGUGGGGGAUAGCUAGUCGAAAGACUAGCUAAUACCGCAUACGAUCUACGGAUGAAAGUGGGGGAUCGCAAGACCUCAUGCUCCUGGAGCGGCCGAUAUCUGAUUAGCUAGUUGGUGGGGUAAAAGCCUACCAAGGCGACGAUCAGUAGCUGGUCUGAGAGGACGACCAGCCACACUGGGACUGAGACACGGCCCAGACUCCUACGGGAGGCAGCAGUGGGGAAUUUUGGACAAUGGGGGCAACCCUGAUCCAGCAAUGCCGCGUGAGUGAAGAAGGCCUUCGGGUUGUAAAGCUCUUUUGUCAGGGAAGAAACGGUAGUAGCUAAUAUCUAUUACUAAUGACGGUACCUGAAGAAUAAGCACCGGCUAACUACGUGCCAGCAGCCGCGGUAA
rnacentral:rRNA from 1 species